rnacentral:rRNA from 1 species
UACGUAGGGGGCUAGCGUUGUCCGGAAUCAUUGGGCGUAAAGCGCGUGUAGGCGGUCCGGUAAGUCCGCUGUGAAAGUCGAGGGCUCAACCCUCGAAUGCCGGUGGAUACUGUCGGGCUUGAGUACGGGAGAGGCGAGUGGAAUUCCUGGUGUAGCGAUGAAACGCGCAGAUAUCAGGAGGAACACCGAUUGCGAAGGCAGCUCGCUGGAACGUUACUGACGCUGAGACGCGAAAGCGUGGGGAGCAAACAGG